CCCCCCCCCUGCGUGCUGCGGUGGGCACCAGAGAUGGGAUUUCGGUGUCCUUCCUCCCCAGCGCUCUUCCUCUUCCUCUUCCCUUCCUUCCCCUGCCUUUCCUCCUGCCCCUUCCUCCCUUAAUUCCCUCUUGAUCUCCCUCUUUCUUCAUUUCCUCCUGAUCCCCCUUUCUCCUCAUUCCCUCCUGAUCAUCCUUUCUCUUCCUUUCCUCCUGACUCUCCGAUCUGAACCCUGCCCCGGGGGCACCCCCUGAGCCCAAACCCUGCACUGGGGCACCCCCUGAGCCCAGACCCUGCCCUGGGGACACCCCCUGAGCCCAGACCCUGCCCCAUGCCAGGCCCGUUCGGACGAGGAGAGGGAAGCCUGGCUGAAGACCCUGCAGGCCAGGGAGCCAAAGAAGGGGGACGGGCCCCCCCCGAGACCCCCUAGGCCGAGCAGCCGCCCUGCUGCCGGGGGGCUUCUCCAGCGCCGUGUCCCCACCCCCAACACAUACAUGGACGAUCCCUUCGGGCAGCCCCCGCCGGCCGAGACCCCCGAACAGCAUCUCUACUCCAACGCGGAGCGGCUGCAGCAGCUGCAGCAGAGCCUGGACCGGGCGGCGCCGGGGCAGCGCAGGAGACCCGUGUCCGCCCUGCCCGGCCGUGCCAGCCCCGCCCCGGGCAGCGCCCGGCCCCCGCGGGCAGCGCCAGGAGCAGCUCUCCGGGCCAGGCCUGCCAGCGCACAGCUGCCGAGGGACAGCGCCAACCUCCAGAGCAGGGAUUUCUCCCUCUCCCAUCACACCCUGACCCUGCCCGAGCGGAAGGGGACGCGGGACGGGCUCGAUGUCCUCAUCGGGAAAAAAGCUUUUCCCAAGCUGGAGGAGAAGGUGGAGCAGCUGGAGAGGGCGUGCCGAGCGAAGGGCAGGCUGAGAGCCGGCUCCGAGAUGAACCUGCUGGCCCUCGGCAAGUCACUCAAGGGUCACAUCGCGGCCACCGCCGGCUCGGCCGGCUCCGAGGGCUCGUUCCUCAGGCCGCUGCUGAAGCGCACCGCGUCCGCCCGGAGCGCGCUGAGGCCGCCCCCAUCCCCGCCCCCCCCCCCCCCCCCCCCCCCCCCGCGGGCAGGGGAAAUGUGCUGCAGAAAACAAAGGAGUGGGAGAUGAAAUCUGCGCUGUGACCACCCAGAGGGCUUCGGGCUGCGCGUGGAUCGUGCAGGACCAGCCUGGAUUCAGCCUGGAAUUUGACUUUUAUCCGUCAGUAUCAACGCUACAACUACGCACAUCUAUUUUUUAUAUCCAGAUAUAUCGGUACUCACUUAUCAGCUCUCCACCCCUGGGCUUCCAGUCUCUCCCCGCUGCGUCCUCACCCAUCCCAGCAGCUCGUUUUUGGGGUACAACUUCAGGAGCUGCUGGCUCUGACCCCAGUCCACCAGCAGGACCCCAAUCCCCUCUGCCAGGACCCCAAAUUUACAGGGAUGGGGAUGGAUGAACCCUGGAUGCAGCAGUUGUGGGGGACACAAAUCUGGGAGGAAUCCGACUGUCCAUUCCCUGGAGUCAGCGGGACCCGGGCUGGGCCCUGGGUGGUUUUCCAACAGCUGAGCUUGUCAGGGCUUGGUUUGAAUUGGAGAAAUGCUAUUUUUUUUAAAGGAUUAAAAAAAAAAAAAAAAAAAAGUCGUAAAACUUGAGUUGUGCUGCAGAAAAGGGUGAGCUGGGAAUGGGGCGUGCUUGUCCUUGUCCUGAGUGCGGGAUCCAUCCCAGGGAAGAAGUUUGUGGGGUCAGACCUGAUCCAGUGAAAGGAGUUUGUGGGGUCAGUCCCCAUCCCAAAGAAGGAGUUUGUGGGGUCAGUCCAAAUCGCAGAGAAAGAGUUUGUGGGGCCCAUCUGGGGUGGGUUGAUGUCCCCCCGGUGUGUGGGGGUUUGGUCCCAUCCAGGUGUGUGGGGUCCAUCCCCAUCCCAAAGAAGGGGUUCGUGGGGGGUGUCCCAAUCCCAGUGCAAGGAGUUCGUGGGGUCAAUGCCGAUCCCAAAGAAAAGAGUUUGUGGGGUCAGUCCCCACCCCAAAGAAGGAGUUUGUGAGGGGUGUCCUGAUCCCGGUGGAAGGAGUUUGUGGGGUCAGUCCUGAUCCCAGAGAAAAGUGUUUGUGGAGUCAAUCCCGGUCCCGGUGCAGGAAUUCAUGGGGUCCAUCCCGGUGCGUUGAUCCACCCCCGGUGUGUGGGGCCCAUCCCCCUCCAGAACUGGCCCCCCCGGAGCAAUUUUCAUGGGGUCCAUCCCGGUGCCUUGAUCCCCCUCCGGUGUGUGGGGCCCAUCCCCCUCCAGAACUGGCCCCCCCGGAGCAAUUUUAGGGCUAAGGCACCUUCCCAGCCCCUCCAUCCCCCGCUUGUCCCUCCCACCCCGAUCCCGCCCCCCCCCCCCCCCCCCCCCCCCCCCCCCCCCCCCCCCCCCCCCCCCCCCCCCCCCCCCCCCCCCCCCCCCCC
rnacentral:lncRNA from 12 species